GACGAACGCUGGCGGCGUGCUUAACACAUGCAAGUCGAACGGAAAGGCCCUGCUUUUGUGGGGUGCUCGAGUGACGAACGGGUGAGUAACACGUGAGUAACCUGCCCUUGACUUUGGGAUAACUUCAGGAAACUGGGGCUAAUACCGGAUAGGAGCUCCUGCUGCAUGGUGGGGGUUGGAAAGUUUCGGCGGUUGGGGAUGGACUCGCGGCUUAUCAGCUUUUUGGUGGGGUAGUGGCUUACCAAGGCUUUGACGGGUAGCCGGCCUGAGAGGGUGACCGGCCACAUUGGGACUGAGAUACGGCCCAGACUCCUACGGGAGGCAGCAGUGGGGAAUAUUGCACAAUGGGCGGAAGCCUGAUGCAGCAACGCCGCGUGCGGGAUGACGGCCUUCGGGUUGUAAACCGCUUUCGCCUGUGACGAAGCGUGAGUGACGGUAAUGGGUAAAGAAGCACCGGCUAACUACGUG
rnacentral:rRNA from 1 species